UCAUGAGAAACGCUGGGCUGGAAGAAACACAAACUGGAAUCAAGAUUGCCGGGAGAAAUAUCAAUAACCUCAGAUAUGCAGACACACCACCCUUAUGGCAGAAAGUGAAGAGGAACUGAGGAGCCUCUUGAUGAAGGACUGGAUAGUGAAAGCUCCCAGAGACUACAUAAUAAAUGGUCUCUCAGAAGACUGAACUCAGAAGCAGACAUAAAAACUCAGCUGUCUUCUAUCAACUGAAAUAAUGCUGCCUGAGAACAACAAGUCACAACCUAUUUCCAUGAUGAAAAAAACAGGGAGGAAAAAAGGUCAGAAAAUGAGUGUUAAAGAAGUCAAAUUACUUGCUCACCCAUGCAGGACCAAGAUUCAAGCAUGGAUCCUGUCUCUACUCAUGUGAGAAGCAGCAGCUUCCCUGGCCAUCAGUUUGCAGAGAUCUUAUAAGAAGUAUGUGUGAGUGAAACAGCAUUUGCUGCUGCUGCUGCUGCUGCUAAGUCGCUUCAGUCGUGUCCAACUCUGUGUGACCCCAUAGACGUCAACCCACCAGGCUCUCCUGCCCCUGGGAUUCUCCAGAAACAGAAGCAUGGACUUCAAGGCACUGGUCCACUGUCCAUCAGGAACACAAGCCAUGUAGGUGCUAUUCUCCUGUAACCUGCAAGUGACAGAUACCAUCCUGGCUUCCUACCUCCCCAAGGACAGUCUUGCCUGAUAAAAUGUUUUAAAACAGAGUCACAAUGUUUGUUAAGAAGGUAGAAUCAUUAUGAAAAGUAACAACUAGUUUUUUCUUCAAUGCCCGCACUCAAGGGCUUUGCCCUACCACUAAAUCAGUGCCUCCCUACCUCCUCCCAACAUCAUGGACCUCAACCCAGAAGGCUUCUUUGUACCUUGCUCUCAGGAUCAGAGACACCUACCCCUAAAGUCAGGUCCUGGGAGCCUCAGCAGCAGUGGGCUUACAUGUUACAACCCCCCUUUAAAAACAAAAUUGUAAAGU
ensembl:lncRNA